GUGGACGUAGCUCAGUUGGUAGAGCUCCUGGUUGUGGUCCAGGUGGUCGUGGGUUCGAGCCCCAUCGUUCACCCCA
rnacentral:tRNA from 2 species